rnacentral:misc_RNA from 1 species
GAUGAAGAACGCAGCGAAAUGCGAUAAGUAGUGUGAAUUGCAGAAUUCAGUGAAUCAUCGAAUCUUUGAACGCACAUUGCGCCCCUUGGUAUUCCAUGGGGCAUGCCUGUUCGAGCGUCAUUUGUACCCUCAAGCUUUGCUUGGUGUUGGGCGUUUGUCCCGCGUUGCGCGUGGACUCGCCUUAAAGCGAUUGGCAGCCGGCAUAUUGGCCUUGGAGCGCAGCACAUUUUGCGCUUCUAGUCAUGAAUGUUGGCGUCCAUUAAGCCUAUACAUUUGCUCUUGACCUCGGAUCAGGUAGGGAUACCCGCUGAACUUAAGCAUAUCAAUAAGCGGAGGA